AACGAACGCUGGCGGCAUGCCUAACACAUGCAAGUCGAACGAGACCUUCGGGUCUAGUGGCGCACGGGUGCGUAACGCGUGGGAACCUGCCCUUAGGUUCGGAAUAACUCCCCGAAAGGGGUGCUAAUACCGGAUAAUGUCUUCGGACCAAAGAUUGAUCGCCUUUGGAUGGGCCCGCGUUGGAUUAGCUAGUUGGUAGGGUAAAAGCCUACCAAGGCGACGAUCCAUAGCUGGUCUGAGAGGAUGAUCAGCCACACUGGGACUGAGACACGGCCCAGACUCCUACGGGAGGCAGCAGUGGGGAAUAUUGGAAAAUGGGCGAAGGCCUGAACCAGCAAUGCCGCGUGAGUGAUGAAGGCCUUAGGGUUGUAAAGCUCUUUUACCCGGGAUGAUAAUGACAGUACCGGGAGAAUAAGCUCCGGCUAACUCCGUG
rnacentral:rRNA from 1 species